AUGCUGUAUGACUUUUCAGAGCUUCCUGUAUGGUCACACUGGAAUUGGUAUUGUGACUGGGAUUUGAAAUGUAGGCUGCAUAGAUCAAGAAUGUGGUCUGGCAAGAGAAAGAGCACCAUGCUUUGCUUGCCCAAAGACAUGCUGUGUGCUGUGCAGAAGGGGACUGCGGGUAGAGGAACCGAGAUGAGAGGCAUGAUGUUGUCAGGCCAGCUAUUAGAGAAGUUGGAUGUCACCGUGCUCCUCUGCCAGUCCAGCAUCAAACUGUCCCCUGAGGGCUCUGCUGGCCCACACACAUCUCUCUGCCUCCUCAGCGAAUCUGUCCUGGUCAAGUGAAAUAUAAACAUUAAUGGUCAUUGGGGAGGGGGGAAGGUUCUCUUCUGGGAUGACUUGGGAUGUUCCCUUCCUCAUGAAAAAUCACUUUGGAAAUAUCUGUCUGAGCCUUUUGGGGGCUCUUCCUCUUCCUCCCCCCUCCUCCCCGUACUGCAGAGGGGGGGUCACUCCCCACGGUGCGCUCGCCAUGCCCCU
rnacentral:lncRNA from 1 species